rnacentral:rRNA from 1 species
AUGGAACCCGUGAGGAAGGCCAUUGUGGGUGUUUUCCUUCUUAUCUUGCUUAUGGCCUCUUCUAGCGAGGUUUCAUGUACUGAGAAUAAUUGUUACAAGGAGAUUUGGGAAACUUGCAUGGGUAGGGAGAACGAAGAUUGCCGACAUGCAUGCAUCAAGGAGGGAUGGGAUGACGGCCAAUGCCGCAACCGCGAGAAAGACAAAAAUAUUCUAGGAUUUCUAACGACUGCCAAAUGCGAGUGCUACCCCCCAACAUGCGACCAUUAA